rnacentral:lncRNA from 1 species
GUUGGACAUAAAAGUGGUUGUUCUUCCACAGAUUUGUAUGGGAUGUGGAAGAAACUGCCAGAUGAUACAAAGCUGGAGCAAGCUUGGAAAAAGGAAACCCGAAAAAGAGCCAGUGUGACCACAUCGUCUUGUCCACACCUGACCACAAGUUUCAUCAAUAAUUCAGUGAGAAAGAAUAGACCUUGAGCUCCCAAAAUGGUGGAAAGGAGUUUAAAAACCAGUAAGUUACUGGGAACCUCAAUAAUGGUGAAAGAAUAAUGAAGAAAUAAUAAAUAAAUAAUAAAGAAAGAAAGGAGAAACAGAAAGGGAAUUUGCUGAUGCAAAUGACAAACUUCUGAAUAGGCUUUAUGGGUUUCUUGUUUGUAUAGUAUCUAUAUGUCUUGUAUGUUAUCUUUUCUGUUGUUCUAAAGAGAUAUGUAGGUAUUUCCAAGUUUACAUAAUCCCCUAACUUCUUUUCUCCUCAUGUAAUCUAUUUCUUAAGUCUCUCAAGGUCAAGGAAGCCUAGAGAUAGAUACUAGGUGUUUGAAUAUCUGACUCAGGGAAAAGAUAAAAUUUAUUACUACAAUAAAAUGUUUGGGUAGCAAUGCUAAUUGCAUAAUUCAUUGAUAUCAAUGUCCAGGCUGAACUCUCUCCUACCAUUGUCCCAUUCAAAAUUUGUUGAUACCAUUAUGGUGGGUGGUAGACACGGCACCCAUGCCCUGGAUGGUUAGAUCAUCCUGUUUGAGGACUUUUGUGGUGGGGCUGUGGUUCCAACUCAUUUCCAGGUGGGAUGUUAGAGUUCUUAUGGUAUGAACAGGGCUCUUUCUCAAUCUUCUUACCUGAAACAGGAAUCAGAAUACAUACGCAGGAGAAUGAGAAGACCUUGAAUUCUAAGGCUAAAAUGUGAUAACCCAAGGGAAUGACCCAAAGCAAAAAACUUCCAUUAUGUCCCAGCUGCCAAGAAAAAAAGUAGCUGCAAUGUCUACGUUGGGAACUAGAUUAGUGCUGGGCUGAACACAAUGACUUGUUGGCUUGAGAUCAUGUACUUAACAAAAGAAAGCUUUUCUUGAGUAAAAUGUGGAGAGUGACAUCAACUAUUUGGAUUAUCUAGCUACAUUGCUGCAAGUUGAGCUUUUUUCCUGAAAUCUUUUCCAAAUGCUUUUGAAUUAAUUUGUAUUGUAUCAACAAACAUUCUAACAAUAAGCCUGUUUCUUAAAACAAUUCAAAAGGCAAACAAAUAAAAAUAUGCUGACCUCUUUGUUAGCUACAUAAUUUUGUUGACAUUCCUCAGAGUUUUAGAUGACUGUCAGUAAUGGACAUACUAGAUCAAGUUUACAAUGUAAAAAGGGAAAAAGAAUAAAAUAAUGUCUUGUGAAGUUAAGAAGUAUUAAUAGUUUGGACUUCAAAACAAUUUUCUUAAUUAAUUGGAUCUUUACCAUCUGAAUCCUUUGAUCACUGGCUGGCUUUGUACCAUGUUUUGUAGUAUCUACAUGUGAUUGUGUUGUGUGUGUGUGUAUGUAUAUGUGUGUGUACCUCUACCUAUCUAUCUAAAUUAUAUAUUAAAUAAAUUAGAAAAUCUUUUACAUUGAA